rnacentral:rRNA from 1 species
UACGAGGGGUGCGAGCGUUAUUCGGAAUUAUUGGGCGUACAGGGCGCGUAGACGGCCUGCUAAGUCUGUUGUUAAAAAUCCCAGCCUAACUGGGAACCUGCGACGGAUACUGGCGAGCUAGAGGAUGGAAGAGAGAUGCGGAAUUCUCGGAGUAGCGGUAAAAUGCGUAGAUCUCGAGAGGAACACCGAUGGCGAAGGCAGCAUCUUGGUCCAUUUCUGACGUUGAGGCGCGAAAGCGUGGGGAGCAAACAGG